rnacentral:lncRNA from 1 species
AUGGGGCGGGAAGGUCCCUGUGAUCGGCUGGCCACGGGGCCGGCUGCUGCUUUUUGGGUGCUGAGCACUGCCCCGGCGCUCCUCGCCCCAUGGGUGCUGCUGGAGGGACCCCGGGAACUGGCCCCUGCCGCGGGCGAGAGGGGCUCGGCGGGCGACGGCUUGGCCCCCAGCCUGCAUUUCGGCUCGCGGCGAUCGGGGAUGAAGCUGGAGGGGAAAGGUUCGCUUGGCUGCCCCAGCCCGUGCUGCACGGCACCUCCUGGCUCCUUCCUCCUCCUCUUCCUCCUCCAGCCUGACCCACUCGCUUCUCCCAGCCUCCAGCCCCGCUCACCUGCGGAUCCGCAGAGCCACCAGGGACACGGGCACAUCCCGAAGCCAAGUGCCAGCACCCUGCCCAGCCUCGGGGUGAGAGGAUUUGGCCCAGCCGACCCAAAGCGAAAGCCCCUCACCAGGGAGGAGCCAGUGCUCCAAGUGGGGGCCGGGAGCCCGGAGCAGGCAGGAGGCCCCCGACCCGCCUCUAAUUGCAGGCAGGCAAGAGCCUUCCCUGGGGAGCAGGAUCCGGCCCAGCUGCGCCGGCAGCCGCAGGGCUCCGCAGCUGAGCCAGGCAACCUCCCCCCCUGCAAUCCAGGGGGAGGAGAGGGAUUCCUGCCUCCCCUGCCUUCACCUUUCUGCACCCAGGGGCCCCAAGCCCAGCUGUGGGGCAGGAAGGUGGGGGGGCCACGAUGCAGGAUCCCCCCCCCCCCCCAGGACAGCAAGGCUCCGAGCAGCCCCAUUCAGAGCCAAGGCAGGCAGCACCCAGCAAUGCCCCUUCCCCUUGGGCUGGCCCUCACCCAUUCCCAGGAAAAACAGCCUGGGAGCAGCUCCACAGUGCCCUGGGGAGGGGGGCAGACAACCCCUACCACAGCCACCCCCAGCAGGGAGCCGCUCCCGGGAUUAAACCCGGGAAAGAGCAUCUCCCCCCGCCGCUGGCACCCCGGCUGCACCCCAGCGCCGGGUCCCCGGGGCCGCCUGGCAUCAGCGGGCUCUGCAGCAGCGCGAGGGGAAGGGGAGGAAGAGAGAUAG